GCAAGUGUGAAACUCAAAGGAAUUGACGGGGACCCGCACAAGCAGCGGAGCAUGUGGUUUAAUUCGACGCAACGCGAAGAACCUUACCAAGUCUUGACAUAAUACGGAAGCUUUUAGAGAUAAGAGCCUACAUCUUCGGAUGACUGUAUUACAGGUGGUGCAUGGUUGUCGUCAGCUCGUGUCGUGAGAUGUUGGGUUAAGUCCCAUAACGAGCGCAACCCCUAUUGUUAGUUACCAUCAUUAAGUUGGGGACUCUAGCAAUACUGCCGGUGAUAAACCGGAGGAAGGUGGGGAUGACGUCAAAUCAUCAUGCCCUUUAUGACUUGGGCUACACACGUGCUACAAUGGCAGGUACACAGGGAUGCGAAACUGUGAAGUUAAGCGAAACUCAAAAAGCCUGUCCCAGUUCGGAUUGCACUCUGCAACUCGAGUGCAUGAAGUUGGAGUUGCUAGUAAUCGUGGAUCAGAAUGCCGCGGUGAAUGCAGUUCCCGGGUCUUGUACACACCGCCCU
rnacentral:rRNA from 1 species